rnacentral:snoRNA from 1 species
UCGUCUGAUGAAAAAAUUGAACUUGCUGUGUUCUUUCUGUAAUCACAUUGAGGAAAAUAUCACCUUGGAGAACUGAAAU